rnacentral:rRNA from 1 species
UACGUAGGGCGCAAGCGUUGUCCGGAAUUAUUGGGCGUAAAGAGCUCGUAGGUGGCGUGUCGCGUCUGCCGUGAAAGCCCAUGGCUUAACUGUGGGUCUGCGGUGGAUACGGGCAGGCUGGAGGCUGGUAGGGGCAAGCGGAAUUCCUGGUGUAGCGGUGAAAUGCGCAGAUAUCAGGAGGAACACCGGUGGCGAAGGCGGCUUGCUGGGCCAGUUCUGACGCUGAGGAGCGAAAGCGUGGGUAGCAAACAGG